rnacentral:rRNA from 1 species
AGAGUUUGAUCAUGGCUCAGAGCGAACGCUGGCGGCAGGCCUAACACAUGCAAGUCGAGCGGCCGUAGCAAUACGGCAGCGGCAGACGGGAGAGUAACACGUGGGAACGCGCCCUUCGGUUCGGGAUAACUCAGGGAAACUUAGGCUAAUACCGGAUACGCCCUUACGGGGAAAGAUUUAUUGCCGAAGGAACGGCCCGCGUCCGAUUAGCUUGUUGGUGAGGUAACGGCUCACCAAGGCGACGAUCGGUAGCUGGUCUGAGAGGAUGACCAGCCUCACUGGGACUGAGACACGGCCCAGACUCCUACGGGAGGCAGCAGUGGGGAAUAUUGGACAAUGGGCGCAAGCCUGAUCCAGCCAUGCCGCGUGGGUGAUGAAGGCCCUAGGGUUGUAAAGCCCUUUCGGCGGGGAAGAUAAUGACGGUACCCGCAGAAGAAGCCCCGGCUAACUUCGUGCCAGCAGCCGCGGUA